rnacentral:lncRNA from 1 species
CACUUCGCAUUUCUUUUUUUCUUGCAGAUUAGAUUUGUUCUUUAAAUACACAUUUUCUUCAAUUAGCUCUAUAAUUUCUUGAAGGCAUUUGCAGUAGAAUUACACAUAGCCAGUGCUAGUAGACCGUGGAAACUUUAUGUACAUUAAUCAUAAGAAUUCUUCCUGAUAAAAGCCUUUAUGACUUCAUUACAUAUAAACAGACCAAUUCUAUUACAUAGUUACAAUCCAUUUCAUGAUGGUGCGAACCUGUCCAUGAUCAAGAAGAUGGUGGAUUCCGAGAGACUAUUAACAUCUUUCUUAUCCUCCACCGAUGACUUUAGGUUACAGAAAGCAGCAGUUCUGCUUUCUUGUUGACGAGACACUUCACUUGACACCUGGGUUCUAUGAACCUGCACUUUCUGCUUAAGUUUUAUCAUCUCGCCCAUGCAAACAUUCAACAUAUCUGACAUUCUCAACAACCUAUUGAAUAUUUAUUCUAGUAAAUAUCUGUAUAUUUGUAUACACUCUUCUGCUGUUGAUAGUAAUGAAUACCAAGAGGCAAUAUGGCUAUAUAUACACAGAGGCAAAGUAAAUGGAAGAUAAUUGAAGGGAGAGAAAACCAGCAUGCUUGCAAACAGGUAAGUUGACAAAACAGGGGCAUUUCAUGCAUGAACCCGAGAAUAUUUUAGUGGAUAUUCCAAGCAUAUAUUUUAUAUGAUUGAACAAUAUACUGUACUAUAGUAUAGUUGUAUUCUGUUUGCUAUGUGUCCACACUUAAUAUGAGUGGACAUUGUUAAUUACAGGGGAGUAUUACUUAUUAGUCAAUUUUAACAUUUGAACAAAAUGAGGAUUUGAAGAUUAACUCAUCAGGAUUCAUAACUUAUAAGGUUAAGUAAAAGAAUCUUUUCACCAAGUUUAGGGUUCUAAUACAAUUCUAGUUAGUGUUCUAUUGUGGUUGCACUGUUUCAGUUGUCUGAACUUAUAUUCAUCUCUUUCGAUAUGUCGCCAGCAUAUUCAUAACCCCGUCAAUAAUCGCCUCCCGGAUAAUAAUCUGAAAUCUGCUAGAGGAUGCUGAACUUUCUUGAACAUCAGCCUGUAAAGGUGAAAGCUUUCACUCAGUGGACAGAGUUAAAGAAUAGGAGGGGAAAGUGGCUAGUUAAAUUUUCAAUUUUUUAAAUCACAUAACUAUGUUUGUUUUACCCUACCAGUCGACUAAUCUGAGCAUAAAGAGUUUACUGUAUGAUCACUAUAAAUAAUACACCAUUGUUCUUAGACCAUAACAGAAAUAAGCGAGGGAGGAGAACGGGGAUGUUGGUCCCGUUAUCACAAUUGGGAAUAUUAAUGUCCCAAAUAUCAUGAAAUAAAAUAAUGACCUCAAUGUCACUUAUUGACGUUACUUCGUGUACCGUAUUUAAUAUUAAUUGAAAACGCUACUCCGUGUAGCGUUUGUUGGGAUUAAAAGAACAUAAUGCUAUUUCGUUUAGCGUUUUGUUUGGUUAACAAACACAUACUCCCUCCGUCCCACCCAUUUCUUAUCGAAUGGGUUGGGCACGGAGGUUAAGAAAUAUGUAUAAAGUAGUGGAAAAGUGGGUAAAGUGGUGGGACCCAUUGAUUUUUAAUGUAUAAAAAGAAGGUAGUGGAGUAAAAGUAGUGUGAAAAGGAAAGAAAAGUGGAGAAGUAGUGGGACCCAUUGACUAUUUUUGGUAAGUUUUGAAAUGUAAAGAAUUGGGUGGGACACCCAAAAAGGAAAGUGUAAAGAAAUGGGUGGGACGGAGGGAGUACAUGUUAAAAAAAAACAGAAUGCUAUUACAUGAUUUAGCGUGUCCUUCCAAAAUUGGAAACGCUGGAUUAUCUAGCGGUAAUAAAUGAAUGAUAUUUGGGGGUGUUUGGUUUCAACUCUGUUAUUUUGGACAUUACUUAGUGUGUUUUGUGACAUCCGGAACCUUUUUUUGGAGAACAACAACUGAACAAUAAAGGAUAACAACAAGAAACAACAGAAAUCGCUAAGUUGCAAAGAAGACAGAUCCAGGAAGAAGAACAUGACAACUAGAGCAUCCUGCUUUUAUCCUUUUUCGAGCUCUAGUAAGUCAUGCUGUAGCCUACAGCCUAUCGCCAUGGCAACAUAACAAUGAGCAGGAGACCCUUGCCGCUGUAUUGAUAAUACUUUUAGUAAAGUUAAAACUUCUAAUUGAUCAUACACUCACAAACUAUAAAAUAUAAUGAUCACUAUCAGGUGUUUAGUAUGUUUGUUGAUCUCAAUAACAGAGCAGAACUACACCUAUUUCUAGGUUGGUCCGCAUUGUAAUUUACUUGUGCAUCUGGUGUGGACACUGGCUUUGUAGCUUCAUGAGAACAUGUAGAACUUGUAGGUGAACUCUUAGUUUCAUUACCUNUAACCGUGUACAUGUAUCACUGUAACUUUAGAUAAACAUUUUGCACAUUGAAACCAAAUUCAGGGAAAGUUAUAUUUCAGCACUGUAAAUGAAUGAAAAAUACUAAUAUUAUUAUUCCCUUUUAGGAUUACAAUUUAAUCCCUGCCAUUUUUCACUUCGCAUUUCUUUUUUUCUUGCAGAUUAGAUUUGUUCUUUAAAUACACAUUUUCUUCAAUUAGCUCUAUAAUUUCUUGAAGGCAUUUGCAGUAGAAUUACACAUAGCCAGUGCUAGUAGACCGUGGAAACUUUAUGUACAUUAAUCAUAAGAAUUCUUCCUGAUAAAAGCCUUUAUGACUUCAUUACAUAUAAACAGACCAAUUCUAUUACAUAGUUACAAUCCAUUUCAUGAUGGUGCGAACCUGUCCAUGAUCAAGAAGAUGGUGGAUUCCGAGAGACUAUUAACAUCUUUCUUAUCCUCCACCGAUGACUUUAGGUUACAGAAAGCAGCAGUUCUGCUUUCUUGUUGACGAGACACUUCACUUGACACCUGGGUUCUAUGAACCUGCACUUUCUGCUUAAGUUUUAUCAUCUCGCCCAUGCAAACAUUCAACAUAUCUGACAUUCUCAACAACCUAUUGAAUAUUUAUUCUAGUAAAUAUCUGUAUAUUUGUAUACACUCUUCUGCUGUUGAUAGUAAUGAAUACCAAGAGGCAAUAUGGCUAUAUAUACACAGAGGCAAAGUAAAUGGAAGAUAAUUGAAGGGAGAGAAAACCAGCAUGCUUGCAAA